UACGAAGGGGGCUAGCGUUGCUCGGAAUCACUGGGCGUAAAGCGCACGUAGGCGGAUUGUUAAGUCAGGGGUGAAAUCCUGGAGCUCAACUCCAGAACUGCCUUUGAUACUGGCAAUCUCGAGUCCGGAAGAGGUGAGUGGAAUUCCUAGUGUAGAGGUGAAAUUCGUAGAUAUUAGGAAGAACACCAGUGGCGAAGGCGGCUCACUGGUCCGGUACUGACGCUGAGGUGCGAAAGCGUGGGGAGCAAACAGG
rnacentral:rRNA from 1 species